GGAGAUCCUUUACAACCAAAAUUUCAUAAAAUAAAAAAUGAAGGAAAUAAGGGAUUAAAAAUUCCCUUCCUUAUUUAUAAAACCCCAAUUUUUCUUUUUUAGUGAAAACAAACAUUAAAAGAGUCUCAACUCUCAAGAAAGAAGAAAAAAUGGAGGUGUUGAGACUCUGUUUAAUGGCUAUUUUUGGUUUGGUUAUGGCUUUGGUUAUUCCUUCUAUCAAUGCUCAAGUACCUGAGCCUGCUCCUGCUCCGACAAGUGAUGGAGUUGCAAUUGACCAAGGUAUAGCUUAUGUGCUAAUGUUAGUUGCUUUGGCAAUUACUUAUAUGAUUCAUUAGGCAAUGCGAUACAGCUUCCAUUGCAGUUUUUUUCUUAUUAUUUUUUCUAGUUGUGAUUAAUUUUUAAAGAAAUUAAUUUCGUUCUCUUGUAUUCUUUUUAGAGGUUGAAAUUUUCUAUUUUCUUUUAUUCAAUUAUUAAAUCGUAGAAAUUCUUUAUA